rnacentral:tRNA from 1 species
AGAGGAUCGGGAAGACAGGGGUGCGCCGCUGCUCGGCGGGCAGGGAGCGGUAGAACGAGUCGAACGCGGAGGCCGGGUCGCCGUCGGUGUUCUCCCC